GGAACAUUUUUUUCAGAAAACCUGACAUUUAUAAAAGAAACACUUCACCUAUGCAAAUAAGAAAUUCUCCAAUUAAUCACACACGAAAUUCACCUAUUAAAACUAGAAGACACUCUAAUAACUGUACACAAAGUCCACUUAUCACGAGACGAAAAACAUUUACUUCAAAUAACAUUUCACAAACUCAAAAUUCUUUCCAACAAAGAGGUAGGAGAGAACUGAUUUCCCCAAAUCGGUGUGAUUCCCCCCCUAGGAGAUCGUAU